ACCAACCCCAUAGAGGUGACAAUGGGACCCCAUAGAGGUGACAAUGUGACCCCAUGGAGUGCCACCAACCCCAUAGAGGUGACAAUGGGACCCCAUGGAGUGCCACCAACCCCAUAUUGGUGACAAUGGGACCCCAUUGGUGACAGUGGGACCCCAUAUUGGUGACAACGUGACCCCAUAGAGUGCCACCAACCCCAUAUUGGUGACAAUGGGACCCCAUGGAGUGCCACCAACCCCACAGAGGUGACAGUGGGACCCCAUAUUGGUGACAACGGGAUCCCAUAGACGUGACAACGGGACCCCAUGGAGUGCCACCAACCCCAUAGAGGUGACAAUGGGGCCAACGUCAGCACCCGGGAGGGGACGUCGAGGAGUGUCACCGUAUGGGGGUGACUCACGGGGGCGCCCCCACCCACCUCAGGGCGGUGUCACCGCGUCACCUCCCUCCCUUAUCUUAUCGGCGCCGUGGGGUGGGGGUGGGGCUCUCCCUAUAGGGCCACCCAUCCCCGUCCCGCCCCCUUUUUUUGGGGUCAAAUAACCCCCCCCCCCAUCCCCUCCACCCCCCACCCCAAAAUCCUUCCCGGGUUGCGGAGCCAUCGGGGGACGGAUGGUGGCCAUGGAGGUGGCCUUCGUCCUCGUCACCAUCGUCGGCCUCUGGGGGGGCCCUGGGGGGGCACGGAGGGCUGUCACCGCCGAUGUCACCACCGCUGCCACCACUGCCAACGUCACCACUGAUGUCACCUCUGAUGUCACCACUGAUGUCACCGCCAAUGACACCAUGAGUGUCCCCUCUGACGUCACCACUGCCAACGCCACCACAGCUGUCACCCCCAAUGUCACCGUGGAUGUCUCCUCUGACGUCACCACUGAUGUCACCACCAAUGGCACCACUGAUGUCACCUCUGAUGUCACCACUGACGUCACCACAGACGUCCCCACCACUGCCACCACUGCCAACGCCACCACUGACGUCACCAUUGACGUCACCACUGUUGUCACCACUGAUGUCCCCUCUGAUGUCACCACUGAUGUCACCUCUGACGUCACCACUGAUGUCACCACCAAUGGCACCACUGAUGUCACCUCUGAUGUCACCACUGACGUCACCACGGAUGUCCCCACCACUGCCACCACUGCCAACGUCACCACUGACGUCACCACUGUUGUCACCACUGAUGUCCCCUCUGAUGUCACCACUGAUGUCACCUCUGACGUCACCACUGAUGUCACCACCAAUGGCACCACUGAUGUCACCACUGAUGUCACCACUGACGUCACCACUGAUGUCACCUCUGAUGUCACCUGCGGUGGCUCCGUGGAUGUCCCCGCUGAUGUCACCACUGACGUCACCACGGAUGUCCCCACCACUGCCACCACUGCCAACGUCACCACAGAUGUCCCUUCCAAUGGUACCACCGAUGUCACCACUGAUGUCCCCUCUGAUGUCACCUCUGACGUCACCUCUGACGUCACCACUGCCAACGUCACCACAGCUGUCACCUCCAAUGUCACCAUGGAUGUCCCCUCUGAUGUCACCGAUGUCACCUCUGAUGUCACCACCGUUGUCACCACCGAUGUCACCACUGAUAUCACCUCUGAUGUCACCUGCAGUGGCUCCGUGGAUGUCCCCUCUGAUGUCACCACUGACAUCACCACUGAUGUCCCCACCACUGCCACCACUGCCAACGUCACCACUGACGUCACCACCGUUGUCACCACUGAUGUCACCACUGACGUCACCUCUGAUGUCACCACCGCCAACGUCACCACAGCUGUCACCUCCAAUAGCACCAUGGAUGUCCCCUCUGACGUCACCGCUGAGGUCACCUCCAAUGUCACCUCUGAUGUCACCACUGAUGUCACCAUGGAUGUCACCUGCGAUGGCACCGUGGAUGUCCCCUCUGAUGUCACCACUGAUGUCACCACCACUGUCACCACUGCCAACGUCACCACAGCUGUCACCUCCAAUGGCACCACUGAUGUCCCCUCUGAUGUCACCACUGAUGUCACCACCGUUGUCACCACAGAUGGCCCCUCUGACGUCACUUCUGAUGUCACCACCAAUGGCACCACUGAUGUCACUUCUGAUGUCACUUCUGAUGUCACCACUGACGUCACCACCGUUGUCACCUCUGAUGUCCCGUCUGAUGUCACCACUGUUGUCACCACAGAUGUCCCCUC
rnacentral:lncRNA from 1 species